UGGGGAAUAUUGCACAAUGGACGGAAGUUUGAUGCAGCGACGCCGCGUGGAGGGUGUAGGCCUUCGGGUUGUGAACUCCUUUUUCUCGCGAAAAAGGCACAGUUUUUGCUGUGUUGAUGGUAGUUGGGGAAGAAGCGCCGGCUAACUACGUGCCAGCAGCCGCGGUAAUACGUAGGGCGCGAGCGUUGUCCGGUUUUAUUGGGCGUAAAGAGCUCGUAGGUGGUUCGUCGCGUCUGUCGUGAAAGCCAGCAGCUUAACUGUUGGUCUGCGGUGGGUACGGGGGGGCUUGAGGGCGGUAGGGGGGACUGGAAUUCCUGGUGUAGCGGUGGAAUGCGCAGAUAUCAGGAGGAACACCGAUGGCGAAGGCAGGUCACUGGGCCGUUACUGACACUGAGGAGCGAAAGCGUGGGGAGCGAACAGG
rnacentral:rRNA from 1 species